UCGGGAAUUUUGGGCAAUGGGGGAAACCCUGACCCAGCAACGCCGCGUGAGUGAAGAAGGCCUUCGGGUUGUAAAGCUCUUUCGGCGGGGACGAAACGGUCCGUGACAACACCACGGACUAAUGACAGUACUCGCAGAAGAAGCACCGGCUAACUACGUGCCAGCAGCCGCGGUAAUACGUAGGGUGCAGGCGUUAAUCGGAAUUACUGGGCGUAAAGCGUGCGCAGGCGGCUCCUUAAGUCAGAUGUGAAAUCCCCGGGCUUAACCUGGGAACUGCGUUUGAAACUGAGGGGCUAGAGUGUGGAAGAGGGGGGUGGAAUUCCAGGUGUAGCAGUGAAAUGCGUAGAGAUCUGGAGGAACACCGAUGGCGAAGGCAGCCCCCUGGGCUAACACUGACGCUCAUGCACGAAAGCGUGGGGAGCAAACAGGAUUAGAUACCCCAGUAGUCCCUGAGCGGGCUGGCAAGGCGCAU
rnacentral:rRNA from 1 species